GUCAUCGGAGGAGUUUUUGGCCAGAGGCAAAGACUACAGCCAGUAUUAGGAGCUACUUCCGCAUGUUUUCUCCCCGCCCAUAGGGGUUGGACUGCGAGUCCAUUCGGAAAAGCCCGAAUCAAAACGAGAGUCAGCCAUCUUUAAUCUUCGCUAAGCUAAGCUAGCCUGGGUCUUGCUUUGUGGAGAAAGCCGAGUAAACAAACCACGACGGCAGAGUGUAGUUUUGAAAACGGAUGGCAGAAGGGGAUUUUGAUGACCUGUUGCCCGAAUCUGAUGGUCGUGGUACCUGUACGAGCCGCAAUACAAUGAGGAUCAGUUAUGGAUGAUUGAGGAACAAGAGGCUGCCACCGCGGCUGCUGUAGCCGAGGUGGGGCCGGUCUGGUGGUUUACGUGCUCUCGCUGUGCGCCUCGCUGUUGCUCAAAUCUGAUGGUCGUGGUACCUGUACGAGCCGCAAUACAACAAGCAACAGUUACGGAUGAACGAGGAACAAGAGGCUGCAACCGCGGCUGCUGUAGCCGAGGUGGGGCUGGUCUGGUGGUUUACGUGCUCUCGUGUGCGCCUAUGGACACCGAAAGAGAGUCAUAUUGCUGUCGCGAAUUUCAGCGAUAGCAUUUUCUUCUUGAAGCCCGCAGGGAGAAACGGAGGCAUGGGUAUAAAGCGAAAGACUGGGGAAAGGACAUCGACUUGUUUUACCUGCCUGUGUUCGUUGUUCAGGACAUCAGACGUAGAUAUCCAGCUCCUCACGGACAUUAUAGCGGCUAUAAAGAAACGGAUGAAGCUCUGGAUCAGCUAUGAGUGGGAGUUGUUUAUGUUUUUUAAUAAAAAGUUAAAACUCA